AUUGUUAUGUGAUGAGCCUAUUACCGCCCCAGUCUGAUGUAAAGUGACUGAUUGGUUUCUCUGAUCUAAC